rnacentral:rRNA from 1 species
GGUUAAGCGACUAAGCGUACACGGUGGAUGCCCUGGCAGUCAGAGGCGAUGAAGGACGUGCUAAUCUGCGAUAAGCGUCGGUAAGGUGAUAUGAACCGUUAUAACCGGCGAUUUCCGAAUGGGGAAACCCAGUGUGUUUCGACACACUAUCAUUAACUGAAUCCAUAGGUUAAUGAGGCGAACCGGGGGAACUGAAACAUCUAAGUACCCGAGGAAAAGAAAUCAACCGAGAUUCCCCCAGUAGCGGCGAGCGAACGGGGAGCAGCCCAGAGCCUGAAUCAGUGUGUGUGUUAGUGGAAGCGUCUGGAAAGGCGCGCGAUACAGGGUGACAGCCCCGUACACAAAAAUGCACAUGCUGUGAGCUCGAUGAGUAGGGCGGGACACGUGGUAUCCUGUCUGAAUAUGGGGGACCAUCCUCCAAGGCUAAAUACUCCUGACUGACCGAUAGUGAACCAGUACCGUGAGGGAAAGGCGAAAAGAACCCCGGCGAGGGGAGUGAAAAAGAACCUGAAACCGUGUACGUACAAGCAGUGGGAGCACGCUUAGGCGUGUGACUGCGUACCUUUUGUAUAAUGGGUCAGCGACUUAUAUUCUGUAGCAAGGUUAACCGAAUAGGGGAGCCGAAGGGAAACCGAGUCUUAACUGGGCGUUAAGUUGCAGGGUAUAGACCCGAAACCCGGUGAUCUAGCCAUGGGCAGGUUGAAGGUUGGGUAACACUAACUGGAGGACCGAACCGACUAAUGUUGAAAAAUUAGCGGAUGACUUGUGGCUGGGGGUGAAAGGCCAAUCAAACCGGGAGAUAGCUGGUUCUCCCCGAAAGCUAUUUAGGUAGCGCCUCGUGAAUUCAUCUCCGGGGUAGAGCACUGUUUCGGCAAGGGGGUCAUCCCGACUUACCAACCCGAUGCAAACUGCGAAUACCGGAGAAUGUUAUCACGGGAGACACACGGCGGGUGCUAACGUCCGUCGUGAAGAGGGAAACAACCCAGACCGCCAGCUAAGGUCCCAAAGUCAUGGUUAAGUGGGAAACGAUGUGGGAAGGCCCAGACAGCCAGGAUGUUGGCUUAGAAGCAGCCAUCAUUUAAAGAAAGCGUAAUAGCUCACUGGUCGAGUCGGCCUGCGCGGAAGAUGUAACGGGGCUAAACCAUGCACCGAAGCUGCGGCAGCGACACUAUGUGUUGUUGGGUAGGGGAGCGUUCUGUAAGCCUGUGAAGGUGUGCUGUGAGGCAUGCUGGAGGUAUCAGAAGUGCGAAUGCUGACAUAAGUAACGAUAAAGCGGGUGAAAAGCCCGCUCGCCGGAAGACCAAGGGUUCCUGUCCAACGUUAAUCGGGGCAGGGUGAGUCGACCCCUAAGGCGAGGCCGAAAGGCGUAGUCGAUGGGAAACAGGUUAAUAUUCCUGUACUUGGUGUUACUGCGAAGGGGGACGGAGAAGGCUAUGUUGGCCGGGCGACGGUUGUCCCGGUUUAAGCGUGUAGGCUGGUUUUCCAGGCAAAUCCGGAAAAUCAAGGCUGAGGCGUGAUGACGAGGCACUACGGUGCUGAAGCAACAAAUGCCCUGCUUCCAGGAAAAGCCUCUAAGCAUCAGGUAACAUCAAAUCGUACCCCAAACCGACACAGGUGGUCAGGUAGAGAAUACCAAGGCGCUUGAGAGAACUCGGGUGAAGGAACUAGGCAAAAUGGUGCCGUAACUUCGGGAGAAGGCACGCUGAUAUGUAGGUGAAGUCCCUCGCGGAUGGAGCUGAAAUCAGUCGAAGAUACCAGCUGGCUGCAACUGUUUAUUAAAAACACAGCACUGUGCAAACACGAAAGUGGACGUAUACGGUGUGACGCCUGCCCGGUGCCGGAAGGUUAAUUGAUGGGGUUAGCCGCAAGGCGAAGCUCUUGAUCGAAGCCCCGGUAAACGGCGGCCGUAACUAUAACGGUCCUAAGGUAGCGAAAUUCCUUGUCGGGUAAGUUCCGACCUGCACGAAUGGCGUAAUGAUGGCCAGGCUGUCUCCACCCGAGACUCAGUGAAAUUGAACUCGCUGUGAAGAUGCAGUGUACCCGCGGCAAGACGGAAAGACCCCGUGAACCUUUACUAUAGCUUGACACUGAACAUUGAGCCUUGAUGUGUAGGAUAGGUGGGAGGCUUUGAAGUGUGGACGCCAGUCUGCAUGGAGCCGACCUUGAAAUACCACCCUUUAAUGUUUGAUGUUCUAACGUUGACCCGUAAUCCGGGUUGCGGACAGUGUCUGGUGGGUAGUUUGACUGGGGCGGUCUCCUCCUAAAGAGUAACGGAGGAGCACGAAGGUUGGCUAAUCCUGGUCGGACAUCAGGAGGUUAGUGCAAUGGCAUAAGCCAGCUUGACUGCGAGCGUGACGGCGCGAGCAGGUGCGAAAGCAGGUCAUAGUGAUCCGGUGGUUCUGAAUGGAAGGGCCAUCGCUCAACGGAUAAAAGGUACUCCGGGGAUAACAGGCUGAUACCGCCCAAGAGUUCAUAUCGACGGCGGUGUUUGGCACCUCGAUGUCGGCUCAUCACAUCCUGGGGCUGAAGUAGGUCCCAAGGGUAUGGCUGUUCGCCAUUUAAAGUGGUACGCGAGCUGGGUUUAGAACGUCGUGAGACAGUUCGGUCCCUAUCUGCCGUGGGCGCUGGAGAACUGAGGGGGGCUGCUCCUAGUACGAGAGGACCGGAGUGGACGCAUCACUGGUGUUCGGGUUGUCAUGCCAAUGGCACUGCCCGGUAGCUAAAUGCGGAAGAGAUAAGUGCUGAAAGCAUCUAAGCACGAAACUUGCCCCGAGAUGAGUUCUCCCUGACUCCUUGAGAGUCCUGAAGGAACGUUGAAGACGACGACGUUGAUAGGCCGGGUGUGUAAGCGCAGCGAUGCGUUGAGCUAACCGGUACUAAUGAACCGUGAGGCUUAACCUU